rnacentral:rRNA from 1 species
CCUACGGGUGGCAGCAGUGAGGAAUAUUGGUCAAUGGACGCAAGUCUGAACCAGCCAUGCCGCGUGCAGGAAGACGGCUCUAUGAGUUGUAAACUGCUUUUGUACGAGGGUAAACGCAGAUACGCGUAUCUGUCUGAAAGUAUCGUACGAAUAAGGCUCGGCCAACCCCGUGCCAGCCGCCGCGGGAAUACGGAGGAUUCAAGCGUUAUCCGGAUUUAUUGGGUUUAAAGGGUGCGUAGGCGGUCGGAUAAGUUAGGGGGUAAAUCCCGAGGCUCAAAUUCGGCAUUGCCUCUGAUACUGUUCGUCUAGAGAGUACGUGCGGUAGGCGGAAUGUAUGGUGUAGCGGUGAAAUGCUUAGAGAUCAUACAGAACACCGAUUGCGAAGGCAGCUUACCAAGCUACUUCUGACGUUGAGGCACGAAAGCGUGGGGAGCAAACAGGAUUAGAUACCCGGGUAGUC